rfam:Drosophila virilis strain TSC#15010-1051.87 Ctg01_5342, whole genome shotgun sequence.
AUUAAUGGGAUUAGUUUUUUAACUAUUUAUAGUUAAUUAACGCAAUCCCGGGGCGCUCUAUAUAGUUAUGUAUAAUAAUAUUUAUAUUAUUUAUGCCUCUAACUGGAACGUACCUUGAGCAUAUAUGCUGUGACCCGAAAGAUGGUGAACUAUACUUGAUCAGGUUGAAGUCAGGGGAAACCCUGAUGGAAGACCGAAACAGUUCUGACGUGCAAAUCGAUUGUCAGAAUUGAGUAUAGGGGCGAAAGAACAAUCGAACCAUCUAUUACCUGGUUCCUUCCGAAGUUUCCCUCAAGAUAGCCUGUGCAUUUAACUGUUGUAUAAAAUAAUCUUAUCUGGUAAAGCGAAUGAUUAGAGGCUUUAGGGUCGAAACGAUCUUAACCUAUUCUCAAACUUUAAAUGGGUAAGAACCUUAACUUUCUUGAUAUGAAGUUUAAGGUUAUGAUAUAAUGUGCCCAGUGGGCCACUUUUGGUAAGCAGAACUGGCGCUGUGGGAUGAGACAAACGUAAUGUGCUCAAAUUAACAACUCAUACAGAAACCAUGAAAGGCGUUGGUUGCUUAAAACAGCAGGACGGUGAUCGUGGAAGUCGAAAUCCGCUAAGGACACACUCCUGCUCACCUGCCGAAGCAACUAGCCCUUAAAAUGGAUGGCGCUUAAGUUGUAUACAUAUACAUUACCGCUAAAGUAGAUGGUUUAUAUUACUUGUAAUAUAAAAUUUGAAACUUUAGUGAGAAGGAAGGUACAAUGGUGUGCAUAGAAGUGUUUGGCGUAAGCCUGCAUGGAGCCGCUAUUGGUACAGAUCUUGGUGGCAGUAGCAAAUAAUCGAAUGAGACCUUGGAGGACUGAAGUGGAGAAGGGUUUCGUGUGAACAGUGGUUGAUCACGAGUUAGUCGGUCCUAAGUUCAAGGCGAAAGCCGAAAAUUUUCAAGUAAAGAAAAAUCUAAAUAUAUUUAUCAUCUAACCGAUUUUUAUACACUUGAAUAAUUUUGAACGAAAGGGAAUACGGUUCCAAUUCCGUAACCUGUUGAGUAUCCGUUUGUUAUUAAAUAUGGGCCUCGUGCUCAUCCUGGCAACAGGAACGACCAUAAAAAAGCCGUCGAGAGGUAUCGGAAGAGUUUUCUUUUCUGUUUUAUAGAGAGAUAUGGUAGAUGGGCUAGAAGAGCAUGACAUAUACUGUUGUGUCGAUAUUUUCUCCUCGGACCUUGAAAAUUUAUGGUGGGGACACGCAAACUUCUCAACAGGCCGUACCAAUAUCCGCAGCUGGUCUCCAAGGUGAAGAGUCUCUAGUCGAUAGAAUAAUGUAGGUAAGGAAAGUCGGCAAAUUAGAUCCGUAACUUCGGGAUAAGGAUUGGCUCUGAAGAUUGAGAUAGUCGGGCUUGAUUGGGAAACAAUAACAUGGUUUAUGUGCUCGUUCUGGGUAAAUAAAGUUUCUAUCAUUUAUGGUAGUUUCUUGUUCCCCGGAUAGUUUAGUUACGUAGCCAAUUGUGGAACUUUCUUGCUAAAAUUUUUAAGAAUACUAGUUGGGCUACCAAUUAGUUCUUUUAAAUUAUAACGAUUAUCAAUU